AUUUGUCCCCUAAAUAGGGACUUGUAUGAAUGGCUAAAUGAGGUUCUAACUGUCUCGUUAGAUCAAUCAAUGAAACUGAUCUUUCAGUACAAAAGCUGAAAUAAACCCAUAAGACGAGAAGACCCUGUGGAGCUUAAAAUAUGUACUAUAAACUAAACCACACCACUUUUCAGUUGGGGCGACUUUGGAACAAAACAAAACUUCCAUGCCAGGUCCCUACCAAGGCCCACACGCCAAAGUAACUACUUAUUGACCCAGCCACAUCUAGCUGAGCAACGAACCAAGUUACCCCAGGGAUAACAGCGCCAUCCUCUUCAAGAGUCCCUAUCGACAAGAGGGUUUACGACCUCGAUGUUGGAUCAGGACACCCCGGCGGUGCAACCGCUG
rnacentral:rRNA from 1 species